AGAAAAAGUGUGGGAUUUCAAGGGAUUAAGCUAAUAAAGGUGGUGAAUCCUUCGAUAAUGGCAAGGAAAUUAUACCCGAGGAUCGGUAAUCAGAGUACUCUAGAAAUUCGACUCCCGAAAUAGCUCAGAUUAAGCUAUGGAUAGUUGAGUUCAUCGAGAACUACCCUUGGAUUUGCAUUCUUUCAAACUGUAGGUUCAUAGUCCUCUUUCAUUUUGGUUAUUCGAGGGCCCACUGGUCAUUGUAAAUUAAAUUAAAUACUCUGCUUUACUGUAUUACAGUAUGUAUGAAUUUACUUUGCUUUUACGCUAC